UAGUUUUUUUAGAAAUAAAUUUAAUUUACAAAUUUUUAAUUUUUUAGUUGUUUAUUUAAUUAAAAACCUUAUUAAUUUGAAUAUCUUAAGGGAUAAGCUUUAAGGUAAAAAUUUAAAAAUUAAUAAAUUUAAUAUAAAAUGUAUGCUUAGAAUUAGCAAUCAUUAUAGAGUUUGUUAUAAAUUAUUUUAUGUACUAUAUUAUUUAUUAUGUUUUAAUUAUUUAUGAAAAUUUUUUUAUUAAUUAAUUAUAAAAAGGAAUAAUGAUAUAAUUAGUAUAUGUUUUUGUAUACAUAAUUUUAUAUGAUAAGUUUACAUAAAGAACUCGGCAAAUUUUUUACCCGCCUGUUUAACAAAAACAUGUCUUUUUGAGUUAUUUUUAAAGUCUGACCUGCCCACUGAAAUUAUUUAAAUGGCCGCAGUAUUCUGACUGUGCAAAGGUAGCAUAAUCAUUAGUCUUUUAAUUGAAG
rnacentral:rRNA from 1 species